rnacentral:tRNA from 2 species
GGGGGGAUACCAAAGUGGCCAACUGGGGCAGACUGUAAAUCUGUUGUCGUGAGACUUCGGAGGUUCGAAUCCUCCUCCCCCCA